AUACUUACCUGGCAGGGGAGAUAUGCUCAUGAAAAGGGUGGUUUUUCCAGCAGGAAACCUUGUCCGCUGCACUCUGUUAUGCUGGCUCUUUGCAACUUCCCCAAAUGUGGGAGAGUCAACUACAUCACUUGUGGGAGUGGUGGAUGGCGUUUCUGCUCUUCCCUA